rnacentral:rRNA from 1 species
ACGGUACAACGAGUCGCAAGACCGCGAGGUUUAGCAAAUCUCUUAAAGCCGUUCUCAGUUCGGAUUGUAGGCUGCAACUCGCCUACAUGAAGUCGGAAUCGCUAGUAAUCGCGGAUCAGCAUGCCGCGGUGAAUACGUUCCCGGGCCUCGUACACACCGCCCGUCACACCAUGAGAGUUUGUAACACCCAAAGCCGGUGGGGUAACCUUUUGGAGCCAGCCGUCUAAGGUGGGACAGAUGAUUAGGGUGAAGUCGUAACAAGGUAGC